CUCAUUACUGCCUUGCAGUUUGAUCUCAGACUGCUGUGCUAGCAAUCAGCGAGACUCCCUGGGCGUAGGACCCUCCGAGCCAGGUGUGGGAAAUAAUCUCCUGGUGCACCGUUUCCUAAGCCCGUCGGAAAAGCGCAGUAUUUGGGUGGGAGUGGCCCGAUUUUCCAGGUGCCCUCCUUUCCUUGACCAGGAAAGGGAACUCCCUGACCCCUUACGCUUCCCAAGUGAGGCAAUGCCUCGCCCUGCUUCGGCUGGCGCACGGUGCCCUGCACCCACUGUCUGGCACUCCCUAGUGAGAUGAACCCGGUACCUCAGAUGGAAAUGCAGAAAUCACCCAUCUUCUGCGUGGCUCAUGCUGGGAGCUGUAGACCAGAGCUGUUCCUAUUCAGCCAUCUUGGCUCCCGGAUCCAGUUUAACUUUUGCAGAGAGACAAGAUCUCUCUCCAUUGCCAACACUGGUCUCAAACUCCUGGCCUCAAGCAAUCAUCCAACCUCAGCCUUCUGAGUACCGGGAUUACAAGUGCGAGCCACUGUGCCCAGCUCCUGUUUCUACUUUCUUAAGGCAAACCACUUCAAUAGAACAUGGCUGGCGGCCAUAUGGACAUAUUUGAAUCCAACAAUUAAUUCAGCAAAGAAAGCUGCUUGUGGCAAGUUUUGAAUGUGCCAUUCCAGGUAGUGCUUUGAUGAUAAAUGAGGAGAAGAUUGCAAAGAAAAUGACAGCAACAUUUAUAAAAGGGUCUCAUGAAUAUAACACGAUGCCCAGCACAUAGAAAGCAUACAAUAAGUGUUUGUUGGAUAACUGUGGACAGUUCAGUCGACCAGCAAAUUCCUCUUAGGACUCUAGAUGCACGGAGAGUGGCCAGAUUAAUACAGACUGGCAAAAGAAGAACUUGGCAAAGUGAUUUGAUCACACACUUCUCACCCUCACAUCUCCUGACAGUUCCCCUAAUCCCUGCCCCACUUCCCCGCCAUGGGCUUCCAUCAGGAAACUCCUUGAUAUCAUCUUCGAGAAGAAAACUGAGGCAUAGAACAUUUGGGAAUGAAUCUAAGACUACACAUCUAGAAUAGCAGAGUUACAGGAAUGCAGAUGUGAUUCCUAUGGAUGAGGGUAACCUAGAGGCUAGAAGAACAAUAGGACAGAAGAAGCCUGGGUCCCUGAACAACCUUGUGGAGCAUAGACACCUACGUGGCCUGGACUGCCAGCUCACAAUGGGCCUCUCUGUGAGAGAAGGAAACUUCCCUCUUGUUUAAGCAACUGUGCUUUUGAGAAUCUCUUGGUCUAUACCCUAAUGAAUAAGGCCAUCAUAAAUGGAUAUCAAAGUAAGGAAAUUUGUGUAAAUGAUUUAAUAAAACAUUACCUCAGGUAUGAAAUAAUUCUACCUUGUGCCUUGACAACAUCAGGUAUUAUUCAUGCCCUUUUCUCUCCCUGUAAUGUCUCUUAUCCACGGGUAGAAAUUAUAUUUUCCAUCUAAGGUUUGCUCAAAUAUUAUCUACUUAAGUAGCUCUUACCAAUUUUGCCUCUCCUCCUGAGCUGACCCUAUGCCUUCUAUGCUGUUCCAGGUAAUAUUAAUCUCUUCCUUUGUACUUCUUUCACAGAACAUACUUUUUUGUCUAACAUAAUAACUAUAGGCAUAAGUGUAUAGAUUCCACUAGGGGCUUCAGAACAGAAACUAUCAUCUUAUUAAUUUUUUUCUCCCUGAUAUCUAGGGAAAUAUGUUAUAUAUAAUAGGCCCUUAGUAAUCCCAUAAAUGUUUGUGAGAUAUUCACUGACUAUAAGCCAUACUCUGUAUUUAUUUAGCUAAAACAGACGUCUUUCAUAUUUAGUUAGCAGAAAAUGCUCACAUUUACUCCUUUCCUGUUUACCAAAUGAAAGGGUAAUUGUUUUUUCACAGAUUGCACUAGAAAAGUGUCUUCUCUCUCUUUUUCAAAUAGAUUGUCUUUAAAACAUAUGACAGGAAAAGUGACUAUUGUUAGGAUAAGAUAAUUACGAUUGUAACAGCUAGUUUAAAAGAAGUGUCAGUUGCUCCUGUUUUAUUUUUCACAGGAUAGAGCUGCGGCCUGUCUCAGUAUGAUGUUUUCAGGAUCUGGUAUAUAUUUUUAUUUUCCUACAUGAAUCUUUCAUCCUUUUACUGACAUUUAUUCAUUUUAUCUAAUUAUCCUAAAAGGAAAGCUCUGGCCAGGCAAAUUGGUUGUUGUCUGCCUCUGAAGAGACAUUCAUAUCGCGUCGCUUAGCUUUCAAGUUUUGUGAUCAGGAACCCUCAGGCCCAUUUUUAAGGAGGUUUCAGGCUAGCUGAGCUUCACUGUCUCCCAAAAUGUACAAAAUGAGAUUACAUGAGGGACAAGAUCAAUUUACUGGAAGGUACUUAAGCAGUAAAUCUGGAGCUUUUUGUCCAGUCACUAUUGCUUUCAAGCUUUGUAGCAGAAAAUUAAGCCACAAGAGCUUUGACAAAUUAGAUAUUACUACCUCUAAUUGUGUAUGUUUAAGCUUAUCACACUGAAUUGCAGCAUUGUAACUGACUAUUAUGCCAACAAGGCCUUCGUUUAAUCAGCGCAGUGCCAUUUAAUCGCAAUUAAUCACUCAACUAAAAUGUCAUAUUAAGGUCACAGAAACUUGAAGGGCUAAAAGAAAAGAGAACAUUAAAGUCAGCUGAUGGAGGAAAAGAGCAUGGUGUGCCAAGGGAAGUUCUGAGCACUCUUUUUCAUUAGAAGCUGGUAGAACAUUUAAUGAGAAUUCAGUCUUAACUUUCAGCUGAGAUCAGAACAACGUGCC
rnacentral:lncRNA from 10 species